AGAGUUUGAUCAUGGCUCAGAAUGAACGUUGGCGGCGUGGAUUAGGCAUGCAAGUCGAGCGCGAACCGUAGCAAUACGGGGAGAGCGGCGAAAGGGAGAGGAAUACGUGGAUACCUACCCUCAGGUUCAGGAUAGCUAUGGGAAACUAUAGGUAAUACUGAAUAAUAUCUCCGGAUCAAAGGUGUGAUUCCACCUGAGGAGGGGUCCGCGUCCUAUUAGCUAGUUGGUGAGGUAACGGCUCACCAAGGCGAAGAUGGGUACGGGAUGUGAGAGCAUGAUCCCGCUCACUGGGACUGAGACACUGCCCAGACACCUACGGGUGGCUGCAGUCGAGAAUCCUCGGCAAUGGGGGAAACCCUGACCGAGCGACGCCGCGUGCGAGAUGAAGGCCUUCGGGUUGUAAAUCGCUGUCAGUGGGGAGGAAAUGCCAGUGGGUUAUCCCAUUGGUUUGACCUAUCCGCAGAGGAAGGACGGGCUAAGUUCGUG
rnacentral:rRNA from 1 species